CAGCGUGGUUCUAAAUAUCUGCACAUUGUGUCAAUGAUACACAUCCAGUUCACAUUUCUGUUGUAUUUUGUUGUAUUACAAAGAGGAAACAACUUUAGCUGUCAACAAUAUGAGUAAAGAUGACCUCCCUCCUCUUCCCUUCAAAUGUACACAUAUCACCGGCACACCCCGGCACCCAAAAUAAAGGACCAUCUGACUCCGAGGGCAACAAUGCCACCCAUUCUCUGCCCAAAUAAUGCCAUGUCUGUGCGUGAUCCCCCGAUGUGACACCCAGCUGCCUGCAGGUAGCCAAGGACAAUAGGAUGAUGUCUGCCUGCGUUUGCCAAGCAUGUGACGCCCCCGGGUCGUAUAAUAGGCAUCCCUGAUGAAAACACAACUCAAAGUGCGGACAGACACCAAGCACUUUUGUGAGACAUAGUGACCCACUUCAAGCCUCGGCAACAUGAGAGUUGGAGUGCCCGUUUUUGUGUUCUUAGCCGUCGCAGGCUUACAAUAUGCCACAGCUGCAUCACUGGCAUCUGAGGAGAUGGAGGAUUCGUCUGAAGAGGAAGUGGACAAACUGACUUUGCUGCUGAAAAGAGAUCAGAUGGAGUUUGAGGCAGCCCAGGUGGAGAAUGCUGAAGAGACUCAGGCUGCCCAUGAUCAUUUUGAAGCGGCCAAAGUGGAGGAGGCUGAGGAGAUCCAAGCCGCAGGAGAUCAGUUUGAAGCGGCCAAAGUGGAGGAUGCUGAGGAGAUCCAAGCCGCAGGAGACGAGGAAGAGAGUGAGGAGGAUGAGACUGAGGAAGUCACUCACUACAUGGAGGCAAGUCAGGAUGAGGACUCACAUGAGGUAGUCCAAGAGGAGGACACAGAUGAUGCGAAAAAAGAUGCCCAAGAGGUCAUCAGUGAUGAGAAUGCAAGCAAUGACAGUGAAGAUGAUUCACAUUCUGAAGAGAAAUCAGAGGCCGCCUUAACCGCCACGGACACCAGACAAACACAAGAUGUAUCCACUGAGGGCUUGGCUGAGGAGGAAGCACUGGAGGAGUGAACCACUGGAUGAGGGACAGGGAGAGGGGACGAGGUCCAAGCCAUUCAGAGGAGAAAUGAUACUGCAGAGCUGAUUCUGUUCAAUAAAUAAGAAUCAUUACUCCCUAUAAGACA
rnacentral:lncRNA from 1 species